AAAAUCCGUCGACUUAGAAA
rnacentral:tRNA from 1 species